GGGACAGUAGCUCAGCCUGGACAAAUGAGGUAAGAGAGCAAUCGACUGAAGCUCGAUGAGUCGGGUGUUCAAAUCACCCCUGUCCCA
rnacentral:tRNA from 1 species